CAAUAAUUUCACGAAGAAGCAAAGCAUCGAAAGUCGAUUUAACUAACACUCCACGAAAACGUGAUCUCUCACGAUACCGUUUCGUAUUCUCUUCCGGAGUCAUUUCGUUUAGAAUUGCGGUCUCCACUCACAUAUCUGCUCUGAUAGAAUUAGGGAUUAGCGGACGUCCUGAUUUUGGGCUAUCGAUGGGCUUGAUGGUGGUCGUGCACUGAUGUCACUG
rnacentral:misc_RNA from 1 species